UCCUUCACUUGGGAUCGCUGGGAGGGAGCCUCACCACCUGUGUUCCGGGACUGGAAGCACAGCAACAAACAGUAAUGCGCACACAAAGCACAUGAAUUAUUUCUGAUGGGUGAAAUUCCAGCUUGGACCAGAAUCAGUUCUAGACUCUGCAUUUUUGCACCAGUUCCUUCAUUAGCUGUACAAGAAAUUUGCACCUUUCUAGUCUGAUACCAAAAUUCAGCUGUAAAGUCACUGUUCAUUAAAUAGUUGUCCACCUCUCUAUCAAAGUUUAGGAAACAAGUUCAACAGUCCCUUUGAAAUAAAAGAAUUAUUUUUAAGCUGAAAAGCAGGAUAUACUUCUACUCUAUCAUCUUAAUACUACCUACCUAUUUAUCAUCUUAAUGAGUGCAUGCUUUAAAAUGCAGGACCAGAUAAAUAUCAUUAUGCAGGAAGCCACUGGACUGUUUUCCAUAGGUCAAGAAAGAUACCCAAAUCACCAUGACCCUGAUGAUCAUUACAUUGAAACAUCAAGACAUUCAGCAUUUGCAUCAAGAAUUAUAAGUUAAGAUACCUCACGUAAUGGAAAAAUGCAGUAUGUAGCAUGUUAAAGAUUUUUGCUUGCAUAUUGAGCCAAAACCAUAAAGCAGCUCCAAUGGCAGAUGCACACAAUACAUUCCCACUAAUCUGUCCUGGUGAACAAAACUUGGAAACCAUAGCUGAAGGUCAAAAAUUCUGAAGUGCUAACCUAAUAAAUUAGUUGUCAUCUCCAUCCAAAGCAUGCAUUAUCUAAGGUUAGAAAUGCUCUUCUGCAAUGCAGUGAAGAAUAAAACCUGAACAAUACCUGCGUUUAAUGUCUGGAACAACCUGACACCAUUUCUUAUGUAGACAUUGCAACUAGCAUCUCCAGAGUCCAAAUAAAGUACCAAGAUGUGUUUCUACCUGGGCAUAUGCAGGUUCCUCCACCUACAGUUUCGUUGUUCUCACAGAAGAUCAGGCUGGGGGUGGCAUUGAAAGAAACAGAACUCACUUUUCACUGUUAUCUGAUCUGAGCGUUGCUGCAAUUGAUUUGAAGUGUGAAGCUGAAGGAAAUUAAGGAGUCCCACUGUAUAUACCCCCGUUCAAUCACCCGCUACUGCUGUGAUUCAUUCUCUCAGGAAGCUGGCAUGGUGGCUGCCAAAGCUUGUUCAGCAGCAUGGUUUAACACCCGUGCUGUAACAGGAGCCAGCUGACUUGACGGAGGUGGAAUAUUUCUGUCUGAGCUCUGUCAUCUCACAGGCUGCAUGUCAGAUUGCACAGGGCUCAAUACCAUUAAUUCACCACUAUUAAAGGAGUAUUUGUUAGUAAGAGUAGCAUGAGGUCAGAGACAUUCCUGUGAUUAUUGUUUUAUCAAUUCAACUGGGCAUUAUUUCUUUAGGUACAUCCUGUCCUAAAAAGCAGCUCUGUGUAGCACUGCCUCUGCAUUAUUAAAAUGGCAUGACCCAUAUGAGAGAAGUACAAAAUCCUGUUGUGCUUAAAGCUGUAUGCUUUUAUUGUGCAAAGCUGGUCUCUGGGCUCAGUGUCUGCAAAGCUGGGCAUAGCUAAACCCACUGGCUGCUCUUCAAAGAUACCAAGGCACUGGACUUAGAAAUUAUCUGAAACUGAAAGUGUUGAUACGUGUAUAACAGUCUGGCUACAGCAGUUUAUAUCUUCCCAAUAAUUGAUUUUGGACCUGUGAAAAUCAGCUGCACUGAAUUCAGUGCUACUUGAACUUGCCUAUCAACAACAGAGUAAGCUUGCUUAAAGCUAGCCUGGCUCCUGCUAAAUCAUAUUUUAAUUCUUUCCCCAGCUGUAUAAUAGGCAUACUCAGUGAGCAGCCAUGGGGCAUUUUUAAACAAGACUGAAUGCUUGUCUGCAUUUGUGUUCACUGCAUUAAUUUUAUGUUCAAAGAUGCUCCAGUGACAACUGGGGCCAAUUCUUUAAAACCAUAUUUGUAGGCCCAGAGCAUAUCCAUCUGUCUUCUGUGUGUGCCUGACAGGGCAAUUCAAUGCAUUGGUGCACACAACAAUGUUUUUCAACAUGUUUUCAAGCAUCUUGCAAGUUUGACUAGUUGCUUAUACCAAAAUUUAUAAAGUGAUGCUUCUUAUUUCCAUCAUCCCAGAAAGCACCAAAAAAAAGUUCCAGACUAUGUCUUUUUAAAAUAUCUGGUUGUGCAGCUGAGAUUCUGUCUCUGUCUGCCUUACAGCAGCUGUGCUGUCCCAGCAGAAAACAGCUGUGAGAUUUGUAUCAAACUUCCCUGUCUAGGAAGACAGGAGCUGCCCAUGUCUCCUCCUUCCCACAGAUCUUUUUAUAAGUGAGAGUAAUCACAGAAAAGCAGCAUAGCUAGCAUUUUCCUUCACCCCAGCAGGUCCUGGCAGUUCUAUCAGCUGGAUGGAGUUAUAUGCAGCCAUGAGAAAAUGUUAAUCUUCAUUAAAUGUUAAUCCCUGCAAACACUUACAUACACAUCAGUUCACUUAUAUAAUAGGCAUACUGAAAUCAGUGGGACAACCCUGGGAGAACAGUUACUCAUACAUAUAAAUGUUUACAGGAUUCAUUUCCUCCUUUUGCUCUGAAUCAUCUGGAAUAAUGUUUCCUCACAACUUCACAAGGAAUUGAUGCUUAUUUUAAGGCACAUCCAUGCUAGGAGACAUAGCACACAGCUCUUGAAAUAACUGUGGAAUGAUGUGAGCUAAUAUGAUGUCCUGGCACAGCAGUCUUUCCAGCUACAGCCAGCUGAGGAAUCCAGAUCAUGACCUUUGUGUUAGGGAGCUGAGAUCCGUGUGAUAUUUUCUGCUGAGCUGUUUGUUUAAAAGAUGGCUUCUCUCAACACCUUUGGGUGGAUUUCUCUAUGACUGUCGGGAUACAAUGGGCAUUGAUAAAUUUUAGGAGUAGUUAUUUUAAUUCUAUAUUUCAGUCCAAAUCCUCUCAAAUCCACUGCAGUUGCUCUUCAGCCGUGGUGAUAAUCAGAAAUACAAAGGGGUCAAAAUUUUGUUAGUUUUUCUUCCUGUCCAAAGAAAAUAGAAUGAAAUUGUUUUGGAACAGGAUGACCCUGUUGAAGCUGAGGGUUUGUAUUGCUUGGUUCCUCCUCUCUUGCAGGCUCAAUGCUAUGGUGUGUUUGAGCCCUGCUCCUGCUCUUUAUCUAUGGGAUAGUGUGAAGUCCAGGAGGGAAAUUUCUUCCACCCCUAAUCUCAGCAGAGAUACCAGUCAAUUAACUCUACUGCUUGGCAUACACACUGAGGCACUAACAUAAAACAGACUAAACUUGCUUAAAAGACUCCAGCUUUCCAAUGAUGCAUGGAUGUUGUGGCACGCAGAGCUGGGGGGAAAAUGCUGAUCUGGAGACUCAGCACCCAGUUUUCAGCAGGGCAAACACACAUUAUUCAUUCAGUUGUAUUGGAGAAGGACUCCUGACUGCAGCGUGCUUGUUCACCUCUCAGAGGCAUUCAGUAUGGAUCAGUUGCAAAACUUUAUCACGUGUUGGAUGUCUGUAACCUGCCUGAGAUGAGAUCACAGAAGUAUUAAUCUUCCAGCUAACUCUUUAGAUGGACAUUUGGGCUAUAGCCCAUCUGUCUGAGGCAGUCAUGGUCUUCAUUAGGCAUGGAUGCCUACCCACAGAAUGAGGAGUUAGGUAUUCUAUAAGCGGUGGAAGAUUAAUAUAUAUGCUAUAUUUCUAAAUGUACAGUUACGGUUAAUAGAAGAAUUGCAUUGCUAUUCUUACCUGGAUUUCAAAUGUCAACAAUAACAUUUCAGUUCAAAAUUUUGCAUUAAAAUUUGUAAUUGUACUUUUCUAAACCACCCCCAAAUGACAGCUUAUUUCUGAGCUCCCCAUCACAAAAGAGACAGGGACAUGUAGGAAUGAGUCCAGCAAAAGACUACCAUAAAGGUAGUGAGGGGUAUAGAGCAUCUGAGAUCUGAGGAGUGAAGGUGGAAAUGUUCAGCCUGCGGCAGAGAAGGCUCAGGAAGGAUCUUACCAAUGUGUAUAAAUACUUGAUGGGGCAGAGUAAAAAAGAUGAAGCCAGGCUCUUCCCAGUGGUGUCCUGUGAAAGAACUAGAAGCAAUGGAUAAACCAUGAAAAAUUCUUUUAAACUUGAGAAAAACUUUCCUUAUUGUGAGAGUGGUCAAACAAUGGCAUAGGUUGCUCAGAGAGGUUGUGGAAUCACCAUCCUUAGAGAUAUUCCAAACCCAAGUGGUUGUGGCCCUGAGAUACCUGCUCCUGCUCACCCUGCUUUAAGCAGUGUUGGGAUGAGGUGAUCACCAGGGGAACCUGUCCACCUCAGCCAUUCUGUGGCUGAUCUCAUAAAUACUUUUGAAUUAUAAGCAAUCUCUUAAACAUAAAGUUCCCUAGGAAACACAACUAUUUAAAAGCACACAGCACCAAAAAAUUUGGUACUAUUUAUAAUUUUGUUGCGAAUUGUGGUGAUUUUAAAUUAAUGCAUUUUUAAUAAAGAACUAUUGCUGGUAAUAAUUAAGUUAUUCUAAAAUAUAUAAUUCAUAAUGCUGUUAAGUAGCCGUUUCUGCCAGCUAAAUUGUAACUUUCUGCCAGAAGAAGGUGUGCAAUACCAAAUAUGUGGGCAAAAUCACAGCUUUGUGAGUACCUUCCUUUCCAAAGUUGUGCCAUUUCCUACUAAUGAGGUUUUACAGCAAGACCAAUGAUACUGCCUUUAAAAAAAAUUUAUUUUAUACUUGAAUGACAUGGAUUGUUUUAAGAAACUUCUGAAAAACAAGUAACAUUAACCAUGCUUUUGUAUUUUAAGUGAUACAGAAUCCUGAUAUUCAAAUUGUAUAAAUUAUAUACAAUUGCAUUUUACAUGUCAAAUAAACCAAGGCUGUCAUUAUUUGGAUGUGGUCACCUUUACUGCUCAGCAAAGAGUGCAUGUUACACCCAUAAUCAUUUGUACAAAGCCAGAUUCUGAAAAUCUUAGACUCCUCUGAUUUCAGCAGUUGUUUUUACUCAGUGAGGUUUGCCCAGCCAAAAAUGAAUGGCUCUGUGCUAUUCCCUAUUCAUGGCACUGUACCUCAGCUGAGAUUUCUGAUGUAUUUUAGUUAUCACACUACCUGUAUUUGAAAAUAACCUGUAAGCACAUUUAGUGUGCUUACAAAACAUCUAUUUAUAUCACCAUUACUUUUCAGAGUUACAUUUCGUGCUGUGUUUAUUGCAGCUAUUCCAGAUCUCCUUGUUGUAUCCACAACAGGGUGCCAACUAUGGUGUUGAGUAAGAGGAUUUUAACUGUGAAUGGAUCUCUCUCCCUGAAGUAACGAGCUCAGAUAGACUUCAGAAAGUGAUGUUUUGCCUGCCUCAUCACUUGUCUAAAAAGGAUAAGGGCAGAGCUAUCAGAAUUACUCUGAUGUAAUGCAGCGAGCAUGAGUGUCCUAGAAAGUUGCGAGCUGUAGAUGUCACAUCAUCACAGAGUCUUGUUUCCUGUGAGUUGCCAAAUGAUCUUUAUUUGAAUUUAAAAUAUUUUUGCCUGAGAAAGCAGUAACAAGCAGCCUAUUAAAUAUACCAUUGAAUGUCUUUCCUACUUGAUCAUCAGCAUUUUGGUAACUUAAAGUGAAUGGACAAGUUUUCUUCACAUUAUACAAUUUGCAAUUUUUAGCACAAACCAGAAGUGAAUCUGAUUGUCAGCUUGACAUUCAUGGAGCCUUGUAUUUGUGCAUAAAUAUGAAAGCUCAGCAUAAAAGGUUUGUGCUCAUAUUGGCCAUCAGAGUCCUAGAAGCUGAUUUUGAAAAUGUGGCUGUGGGCAUAUAAAAAUAAUCUGAAAGUUAUUAUUUAAAUAUACAUUGUGUACUCAGAGCUAUAAGGAAUCGGCCAUCUUACCUACAAGAUGUUUACAAAGCAAGUCUGCUAGGUUUUCUAACAGCAUCUUUGUAAUAUAAUUAAUUCUUCUUAAAAUUUUAUUUUAUUUCAUUUCAUUUCAUUUUAAUUUUGAAAUGUAAUACUUCUGUUGUAGAAUAUGGGGGCAUGUUUAAGAAAUAUGUAAUAAAUACAAUUACAGCCACAACAGGACACAUCUAAGUGUGGUAUUUAGUGGUAGGUUAUGUUAGUAAUCAUAAAUUAGAUUACUAACAGAUAUACAUAAAAAGAUAUAAAAAGGAUGGAACAGCAGAAAAAAGAGGAUGUUUUAGGUAUUGCCAUUCUGGUGAUGCUUGAGCCUUAUCUUAAGCUGGGUUAAGUAUUCAUUUAACAAUGGUUGCUUGCGC